GAGGCUCGCCUCUGUAUCUAGAUCUAUACCCGAACUCUUAUCGAACUCGAGCGUCCUUAUCUAGAAGGCCACACAUACUAGUUUUUGCUGGGAACCAUGGCUUUUAUAUUUUUGAUUUAUU
rnacentral:rRNA from 1 species